ACAAGUAGACUAUCCCAACUAGGUUUUCUAUUAUAAUUGCAAAAGUACAUAUUAAUCUACUCAACAUGUUCACUAUGCCACUGACACCUGAUUACAUUAAAAACCUUAUUAAUAAUUUAAAAUUCAUCAACAGAAAUCUAAAAGUUAAAUAUCAUGUAUGCAUAAUGAUAAAAUAUCUUCCAAGCAUCAUUAAAAUACAGUAUCCCUUUUCUAAAAGCCCUACUUAUAAGGGUGAACAAUUUAAAAUAUAAUAAGUACCUAGGUAAAUUUUAAAUUUUGGCUAUACAAAGUUAUGAGGCAACUGAUCUAUGACCUCUACUUUGGUCUUUUGAUGAUCAUAACAACAUUCUAGCAUUUUAAGUUUUCAAAUCACUUUCACUUCUAAGCUUAGGUUCUUUCCUUGCAUAAAAAUUAUUUUCAAAACUUUUCUGUAUCAAUGCUCACUGUAAGUUCUAUUUCCUUUACAAAUUUGAGGGUGGGGUUUAUUAGCAUAAUCCAGGACAGCAUUCCUUAGCAGUAAACAUUCAUUCAAAGACAUAGUGGGCAUCAUAUAAAUAAGGAAGCGGACACAGAGUGUAUAUGUAAGUGUAAACAAGCAUGUACGUAUAAAUCCCCAUGUCACUGAGGCCAUGACAAUCAACUUUAAACACAAGCCCUUAACUAGAAUAUUAGCCCUUAACUAUUUAUAUUUUCAGUAUCGUAUGUGUAUUCUCUAAAUUAGAUGAUAAGCACAUUGGAGACAGUAUCCAAGUUCCAGAGACACAGUGUUCAUUAUACCCUUAAAUACAUGUUGAGGUAGCCAGUUAUGGGGAUGUAAAGUACAGCAUAGGGAACACAGUCAAUAAUACUGUAAUAAUUAUGUAUGGUGCUAGACAAGCAUUAUUACUUUGUGAGUUACGUAAGGGUCUAAUCACUCUGUUGUGCACCUGAAAUUAGUGUAAUAUUGUAUGCUAACUGUAAUUGAAAAAUAAGAAUAAUAAAAAAGUGAAAAAAAUUCAUGAAAGCUUGGGCUACAUAUAAUAUGGGGAAGUAAAGUUGAAAGCUGGAGAGAGACAAGAAUAGAGUAGAAUGAGAAAAGCAGGACAAAAGCAGGGGUGUGCUUCACAAGCAGCCAGGAAUUAGCAAUCCAAAUACCACCUAAGGUGCUGAGAAGGUACACUGUGCCAUCUCAACUGGUUUACUGAUUCUCUCUCUCUCAAUCUAACCUUGGAACACAUGGCCUAAAUAUUUGGUAUUUUUCCUACCUUGUCUCUGCACCUGUAUUGUACUAGUUAAAAAGAUAUAUGUGCAAAGACACACAGUAUGAUUCUCUCUACUCAUUCUUCCACACUCACCCAAGUUCAAGAAGCACUCUCUAAUGAAUGCGACAUCUAAAGAUGUCCUCCCUGGCAAUCCUGAAAGGUUACCUGUGACAAUGCCCAGAGUUCUAUGUUCUCUUCUAUAAUAAGUAGCAUCACAUAUGGCACUUUGUGGUAAUAAUAUAUACUUUUUUUAAACAACAGUAAGGGGCUAACUGAAAAUGUUUGAUUGCUUUUUUGAAAACCUGUUUUCUAAGUUCAUACAAGUCAUAUUAAGCCAACCUCCUCUAAUGUCUAGAUCAACUACAGGUGACAUUUUGUUCAAGAGAACCAGUAGGUUCCAUUAAUCCUUCAACGAUUAAUUGUAAUAUGAUUAAUCCUGACAAGAAAGCAAGUUUUAGUUUACUAUUUUGUACAACUGAUUAGAUACUUAUAUUCCAGAAACAUAUAUAUGAUCUGUGGAUGCUUAUGUUCUAAGAUGCUAAACAUUGUGAACUAGUUUUCCAACUUCACAUUUUAUAAAUAUCAGUAAUUUUCUUAAAUGUAAAAAAAAAAGGUAAGUUAAUUACAGAAUGACCUAGAUCUGGGUUGUGAAAAUGAGGCUUUAAGAAAAAACACUGACUUUUAACAAGUUUGAACAAAACAGAUCAUAUUGGGCAGGGGUCAGCAAAUAGAGUUCACAAGCCAAAUGUGGCCUGCUGCCUGUUUCAUGAAGUUUCACUGGAACACAGCCAUACUCAUUCAUUUAUGUUUUCAAUGAGUAUGGAGGGCUGCUCUCCAACGGUAGAGUGGAGUAGUUGCUAAGCCUAAUAUAUUUACUAUCUGGACCUUCGGAAAAAAAGUAUACUUCCUUCUCCUCCCCUCCCCCUAUUUUUGGGGAACAAUUCUCCACAGGUCUCUUCUGCUUCUGCAUGAUUUCUGAGCAAAGGCAUUAACGACUUUGUUCCUGACAAUUUUUUCAAGGAUGUCUGUACAGUGAACAGCCUUUGGAAACAGGUAAAUGCCUCCCCCUCGAAGCAAAAGUUAGACAGGUUUGCUAACAGGUCCUUAUCAAAGAUGGGGAUCUUCUAUACUCUGGUUCCUCUCUCUGUGUAAAGCAGCACACUGCACAUGCAGUCACCAUCUGGCCGUCAUCGUGUCACCUUGUGGAACUGGAACGCAGAGAAGCAGUGGAAUGAUGAAGCAGUGCAAAUGAUGUUACUCUGCUGUAAUAGCCUACUACGUUGUUGUGAGCAAUCAACUGUUCUUUGCCUUGUGUCUUCUAUGGGUAUCCAUGCAAUUGUCUCAGCCUGGCGUUAUCUCAUACCUUCAGAGUUCUUAGUACCUUCCCCCACCCCAUUUUUGGUCACUCAGCAAUUCCCAGAUCCACUUACUCUAAAUAGCUAAAUUAACACUUAGUAGGACUAUCAUAUGCAGUGGCACCUGACUGAGGGGGUGGAUAUGAGCUUAAAUUCCAGCUUACAUCCAAGGGUGGCCUUUUUGGAAUCUAUACAGUGGCACCGUAUGAGCUAGUGGCUUUGCUAAAGAGACCACUUUACAUGGUAGAAACAAUUUUUUCCUUUUGACUUUCCUUUAUGAAAUUCCAUGUUUUGACUGAGUUAAUUAGUCCUCUCUUUGGUUUGUAUAUGGAAGGUUCUUGAAGCGAACAUACUCCUACCCCUUCUGAAGCUUGGUUUUCUGUGAAAUACUCUAUCUAGCAUUCCUUCUAGUAGCUCCUCCCCACCCUGCCUUUUUGCUUAAGCUAGUUCAACUGGGUUUCUAUCAUUUAACUUCCCCACCAAACUACUGAUCAGGACUAGUCACAUUUCAGGACAUUAACUAGAGGAGCAGGAAAUGAACUAAUAAUGGGAGAACAUGCUCUCUCGUCCCUUUUCCUGGACCUUGGUAGACAUGAAUGGGGAGAUCAGAGACUCACGUAUGGCUUCUGACUAGAAUGAGUCAUAAGAAUCUAUCAAUUCUGUAAGUCAAAAGAGUUGAAUUAGCAAUUCAGAUGGUUCAGCAGUGAUUUUCAACAUUUCUCAUCUCCUAGUGAAUAUAAACUAAUUAAUAAAAUUAUGCAGCACACCAAAUAAUACAUUUCUUUGCUGAUCUGACAAAAAAUAGGCAUACAUUUGGUUCAUUCACAC